UCUAUACCGUACCCAGAGUGUCUGAGCAGUGAUGAAAGU
rnacentral:sRNA from 1 species